rfam:Anaerocolumna jejuensis DSM 15929 genome assembly, contig: EJ31DRAFT_scaffold00057.57
GCGGAUAUAGUUUAAUGGUAAAAUUCGAGCUUCCCAAGCUUGUGUUGCGGGUUCGAUUCCCGUUGUCCGCU